UCUCUCUGCGGAGUGGGCUCGUGGGUUCCUAGUAGAAGAGCUGUGAUGUUCUCGUGCCGCGUGCUGCAGGCCCUGCUGUUGAGUGAGGGGGAGCAGGGGAUCCCAAUGGCCUGCCCUGCCUUUGCGCAGCAGCCAGCGGGCGGGUACGUCGUGGCCUGGCCGAGGGAGGAGAGUGCGGUCCCCAGUCGAGCUGCGUGAACUACCAUUGCACACUGUAGAGUUUCUGGUGCCUCUCCUUGGAACUCGGCUAGCGGCGCCACAGCCCCUGCUAACUAAUCGCGACAUCACAACUAACGGGCUUUUACCAUGUUGUCCAGGCUGGUAUCGACUCCUGGGCUCAAACAGUCCUCCUGCCUCUGUCUCCCAAAGUGCUGGAAUUACAGGGAAUGUGAGCUCUGGAAGCCCAGCCAGGGACAAUGCUCCUUCACAGAGAUUCUGCACUAACCUGAGUGAAGGCCUAAGGUUUGGAACCUCCCCCUCGUGGAAAGAAGCUUUGUAUGGCUGUCAUGCUUAGACAAUGAUUCCUGCGACUUGACCUUCAGGCUGGGAGAGGUGGAGAGCCAUGCCUGUUCUCCUUCGUUGCUAUGGAAUUUGCUGACACAAAGAAUAUCUUCUGCCUGGUGCUGGGCAUAUCCUAAGAACUGACAACUUUCCUGUAUUACCCUGUGUGAGCAGCUGUCACCUUAUUGGGGGAAGAAUGCCUGAAAAUUAGGGGGCACUUCAAGUAGAGAGCUUCUAUUUCCUGUAUUUGUCUUAUAUACAAGUAUUUGCUUUUAUCAAAAUUCUAAUAAAACAUUUUAAAGUAAACAA